AAUCCAUGGUGAGGACAUUCUCUGCGAUAGUCAUUGAAGCGCUCCCAUGCGUCGCGGAAAGGCUCAUCGGUGAGUGU
rfam:Brassica oleracea var. oleracea cultivar TO1000 chromosome C7, whole genome shotgun sequence